UAUGAGAAUCGACAUUAGGUCGCAUAU
rnacentral:piRNA from 1 species